AAAGUACCUGGACCUCUAUGCCCAUGCUUCUAGCAGCCAGCCUCCUAAAAUACCUCUAGUUGAAGCCAAAGUUAGAAUCCUUCUACGAAACUACAGGAUUAAAAUGGAAUGGUUACAUGACCCAGGCUUGACCAAUCAGAUCAUCCAAACCCUUUGCCACAGUGAUUGGUCCAGGGAUACAUGCAUGAGCCAGCUCAGGCCUAAGCCACACUCAUCUUGUGGAUGACACUGGAGCUGUGACAGUCUGUUCUGUCCAGGCAGGGUGUCUUUUAUUUUUAUUGGAAAUAAGAUUAUCACAGAAUUGCUGGCUGUUGAUACUCUUUCUCAUCAACUCCCCAAAUGGAAAUGCUUUCAACCACUGCAGAAGUAAAAAAUUACCCAAAGGCUGUAUGAUGCAAACUCUUUCUUUGGCUUUAUCUUACUGAUAAG
rnacentral:lncRNA from 10 species